rnacentral:rRNA from 1 species
AACGAACGCUGGCGGCAGGCCUAACACAUGCAAGUCGAACGCCGUAGCAAUACGGAGUGGCAGACGGGUGAGUAACACGUGGGAACAUACCCUUCGGUUCGGAAUAACUCAGGGAAACUUGAGCUAAUACCGGAUACGUCCGCGAGGAGAAAGAUUCAUCGCCGGAGGAUUGGCCCGCGUCUGAUUAGCUUGUUGGUGAGGUAACGGCUCACCAAGGCGACGAUCAGUAGCGGUCUGAGAGGAUGAUCAGCCACAUUGGGACUGAGACACGGCCCAAACUCCUACGGGAGGCAGCAGUGGGGAAUAUUGGACAAUGGGCGGCAAGCCUGAUCCAGCCAUGCCGCGUGAGUGA